ensembl:lincRNA
GUAGAUAUGUCUCUCCAGUAGACUGCAGCACUUUCCAGUAGAACCUUCUGCAGUGACGGAAAUAGUCUGUAUCUACACUGUUCAAAAGAGUAAUCACUAAUCACAUCAACCAGAACCUGGAUUUGUCACUUCUGUGGGGAGCAGAAAGAACAUCAGUGGAUAAGUAGAGUUCUCUCUUUUUAUAACUUUUAAUGCCAUUGUAACACAAACUAUGGUUUGGAUUCCACUUCUGUUAAGAUAGGGCUGCAUACGAGAUGUGAAACAUUACUGAAUUUAAAAUGUGCAACUACAUAUGCAAGCUGACAUUUUAUAAUGAUUUUGCCAGCUAUCUGGACUCCAUUAUUAUGAAGAAAUAAGCCUGUAAUCACACCUUGGAAAAUAAUUCCACCAUGCUUUCUCUUUUGUUUUUGAUCUACUACCUAAAAUCACUGCAUAUCCUGAGGUUGAAACAGACAGAAUGGUGGCCUACCAUGGCAUUUUGUGAAGAUUUCAUUAGAGAAAACAUAUGACACAGCAUGAAAACCAUCAUUUCCACAAACUACAUCCUCUGUUUUUUUUAAAUUGGAAAUACACUAUUAGAGACAGAGGUUCAUUUGUUACAUCAAACAUGGAAGUUUGUCCUCAAGGCUAUUGAACAUCUGAAUACUUACAAGCAAUUGCCACUGGUUUAGUUGCUUCUGGUUUAGUUUCAUCUAUAUAUUCCCUGGUGGCUCCGUCGGUAAAGAAUCUGCCUGCAAUUCAGGAGACCUGGGUUCAAGCCCUGGUUUAAGAAGAUCCCCUAGAGGAGAACAUGGCAACCCACUCCAGUAUUCUAGCCUGGAGAAUCCCCAUGGACAGAGGAUCCUGGCCUGCUGCAGUCCAUGGGAUCACAGAGUCAGACAUGACUGAGUGACCAAGUACAGCACAGCAUUAGAACCAAGGGCUUCCCAGGUGGUGCUAGUGGCAAAGAACCUUCCUGCCAAUGCAGGACACAUAAGAGAUGUGGGCUUAAUCCCUGGGUCGGGAACAUCCGCAGAAGGAGGGCAUGGCACCCUACUCCUGUAUUCUUCCCCGGAGAAUCCCAUGAACAGAGGAGCCUGGUGGGCUACAGUCCAUAGCAUCUCAAAGAAUCAGACACACCUGACGUGACUGAACACACAUGCAUGCACUAGAACCAAAGCUGGUGAGCAGAACAAGUAAAGCUGGACAGGGGAGAACAAACUAGCUCACUUGAAAUGAACCCUUUGCAUUUGAAGGCCUUUCAAUUUACCCCAUUAGCAAUAAACUCUAGAGAGCAUAGGUGCCUACCUUCCUUGAUUUUCUUGGGAUUUGUCCAGAUUUAGCUCAUUUCAGAACUGUCAUUAGAUGCAGCUCAUGAGAAAUUUAUCCUAUGAGAUUCAUGGUCAUUUGUGGAUGUUUUCAUUGAGUUCAGUGAACUAGUACACAGUUCUAGUACAAUGUAAUCAGAAGGAAUAUCACUGAACUACAGAGGAUUCUGAGUUUUUCUGUAAGCUCUAUUACAGGACAAAUGCCACUUAACACCUCUGAGACUCAGUUUCUCUCUCUAUUCAAUUGACUGGCUUUGUUAUAUAACAUUUUCUGAUAAUAAAAUUCCAUCAUUUCCCCUCACUUCCUGUCUCAAAUGAAAUCAGAGAUAUAUUGAGUAUUAAUAUACUUAAUAUAAGGAUCAAUAAGAAUCCUUAUAUGGAUCAAUUCAUUAUUU